AUUGAACGCUGGCGGCAGGCCUAACACAUGCAAGUCGAACGAGUGGCGGACGGGUGAGUAAUGUCUGGGAAACUGCCUGAUGGAGGGGGAUAACUACUGGAAACGGUAGCUAAUACCGCAUACCAUCGGAUGUGCCCAGAUGGGAUUAGCUAGUAGGUGGGGUAAAGGCUCACCUAGGCGACGAUCCCUAGCUGGUCUGAGAGGAUGACCAGCGCCACUGGAACGGAGACACGGGCCAGACUCCUAGGGGAGGCAGCGGUGGGGAAUAUUGCACAAUGGGCGCAAGCCUAAUGCAGCCAGGCCGCGUGUAGGAGGAAGGCCUUGGGGUUGUAAAGUACUUUCAGCGGGGGGGCGUUACCCGCAAAAGAAGCACCGGCUAACUCCGUGCCAGCAGCCGCGGUAAUUC
rnacentral:rRNA from 1 species